rnacentral:rRNA from 1 species
UACAGAGGGUGCAAGCGUUAAUCGGAAUGACUGGGCGUAAAGGGCACGUAGGCGGCUAGAUGUGUUAUAGGUGAAAUCCCCGGGCUUAACCUGGGAACUGCCUAUAAAACUGUUUGGCUAGAAUAUAGGAGAGGUAAGUGGAAUUUCCGGUGUAGCGGUGAAAUGCGUAGAUAUCGGAAAGAACACCAGUGGCGAAGGCGACUUACUGGUCUAAUAUUGACGCUGAGGUGCGAAAGCGUGGGGAGCAAACGGGAUUAGAUACCCCGGUAGUCCACGCUGUAAACGAUGAGAACUAGAUGCUUGUUGACUAAGGUUAAUGAGUAUUGAAGCAAACGCGUUAAGUUCUCCGCCUGGGGAGUACGGCCGCAAGGUUAAA